UUGCGAGCUCCGUCAAGGUUGGUAAGAGAAGCUCUAUUGGAACUGAAUUACAUUGGAAAGAGGACUUGAUGUAUUGAAUUUGAGAACUGUUUAUAACUAUAGAGACCUUUUUGUUUUAGGUGACUGUUGUCAGAAUUUUGAAAGGGGACUUGCGGUAUUGAGUUUGAGAACUGUUUAUUUUUGACACUUUUUGCUGACUGUUGUCAGAACUUUUCAACUUUUAUCUGUGGAUUGUGUGGUGGUGUGGCUACAAGUCGUCCAAGUGAAAAGACAAGAACUUUCGUGACUUUAAAAGUGCCUUUUGGUUUUGUAUUCCAAAACUGAACACUUUUUGCUGACUGUUGUCAGAACUCUGAAACUUUUGUCUGUGGAUUGUGUGGUAUGGGCGUGGCUACAAGUCGUCCAAGUGACAAGGCAAGAACUUUAAAAGAGACUUUUGGUUUUGUGUGUCAAAACUGAACACAUUAAUUUGCUGACUGUUGUCAGAACUCUGAAACUUUUAUCUGUGGAUUGUGUGAUACGGGUGUGGCUACAAGUCGUCCAAGUGAAAAGGCAAUAACUUUUAAAGUGACUUUUGGUUUUGUGUUUCAAAACUGAUUUUUUUUUUGCUGACUGUUGUCAGAACUUAAAACUUUUAUAUGUGGAUUGUGUGGUAUGGGUGUAGCUACAAGUCGUCCAAGUGACAACACAAUAACUUUAAAAGAGACUUUUGGUUUUGUGUUUCAAAACUGAACACAUUUUUGCUGACUGUUGUCAGAACUCUCAAACUUUUAUCUGUGGAUUGUGUGAUACGGGUGUGGCUACAAGCAAGUCGACCAAGUGGUAAGACAAGAUCAUUAAGAUGACGUUAAGUGAUUGCACAUGGGCACACAACGUCUUUUAGACGUCUUAAAGUCAUUGUGUGCCCACUGGCAAUAUUGAGUAGAUGGAAGUUUGAACUUCCCCCCGCAGGCAGGGCAAGAAACUUGAUUUUCUUUAUUUUCACAGAUACCAGAGAUGAUGACCUACUCUUAAUUGAUGCAGCCUGGCACUGGCAGUUUGAACUUCAUGCAUGGCAAGAAUUUGGAACUUCUUCAUUUUGCGCAGACUGAUACCAGAGGUGAUACUCAUUAAUGCAGCCUGGCAGUUUGGACUUCAGGCCUGUCAAGGAAUUUGUUUUCUGGUGCAUGAUGGUGAUCUAAGUGAACCUGACGGUGAAUUACAUCGAUGUUCGUGGUCUUGACAAACACCUACAGCGAAGGAGCCUUAGAGGCACUGGACACUAUUGUUUUCUGGUGCAUGAUGGUGAUCUAAGUGAACCUGAAGGUGAAUUACAUUGAUGUUCGUGGUCUUGACAAACACCUACAGGGAAGGAGCCUUAGAGGCACUGGACACUAUUGAUUGGAAGCGAGUCUUGGAAGAUGACAUCAGCCUGAGAUGACAACAGAGAUGCACGGAAGACUCUGGCUGGAUUGAGGAUCAAGAGGACAAGAGCUAAGGACUGACUGGAGCAAGUCUAAUCAAGAUGUCAAUCAACCAUCAUCUGGAUCACAAGGGCGCUCUUUAUCCGGAAAUGGCAACCCCUCUGAUAUUUUGCUAAGCAUAGAAAUUCGUCGCCAAUUAGUAUUUUCUGCUAACAGCUUUAUGAAACUGGGCCUGCACCUUGGGCUGUAUCUGAAUUGGCGGCCAACGAUUUUGGCUGUGAGUCCUAUACUUCAAUGCAUGAUAAUACCAAAAUCUAGCCAGAGCCGUAGCUGUAGCCGCCAAUUCCGACACAGCCGUGUAGACCCAUAGGCCUUUUUGAAAUGACGGCUUCGACUUUGGAUUCGGCUCAGGCUAUAUAGCUUGGCUCCGUCGGUUGAUUUGACAAUUGCGCAUGCUUUGUGUAACUGCGCCUCAGGGCUUCAGACAAGAGAACGGAGCCUCAAGCCAAACCCAAAGCCGAAGCCGAGGUUUGGAAAAGGGAGCUAGAUAUUUAUCAAGUUGUGACCAUCUUGUUACCCAAUUUAUAUAACUAUAGCCAAACCGAGGCUAGGAAAAAAAAUAGUCUGGCCCCUCAAUCUGAAUGAUCUGAAUGAGAAUUAGACAUUUGAUAAUAAACUAGGAACUAGAUGGUCAUAUAAAUCAAGAUAAAAGUCUGGAUGAUCUAUGAUUAGUUUGUCUAAAUGUAAUUUGUAGUUUUUUAAGAUUUAUUUAAAGACACUGGACACUAUUGGUAAUCCAGUCUUCUCAGUGUAUCUCAACAUAUGCAUCAUAAAAAAA